CAAGGCUGAAACUUAAAGGAAUUGACGGAAGGGCACCACCAGGUGUGGAGCCUGCGGCUUAAUUUGACUCAACACGGGGAAACUCACCAGGUCCAGACACGACAAGGAUUGACAGAUUGAUAGCUCUUUCUUGAUUUCGUGGUUGCUGGUGCAUGGCCGUUCUUAAGUUGUUGGAGUGAUUUGUCUGGUUAAUUCCGAUAACGAACGAGACCUUAACCUGGCUAAAUAGCCCGGGCCGACUUUGGUUGGUCGCUGGCUUCUUAGAGGGACUAUCAGCGCGUAGCUGAUGGAAGUAUGAGGCAAUAACAGGUCUUUGAUGCCCCCAGAUGUUCUUGGGCCGCACGCGCGCUACACUGACCCGACCCCGCGAGAUUAUUACCUGGCCGGAAGCCUUGGUAAUCUUGUGAAACUCGGUCGUGAUGGGGAUAGAGCAUUGCAAUUAUUGCUCUUCAACGAGGAAUACCUAGUAAGCGUGAGUCAUCAGCUCGCGUUGAAUUCGUCCUGCCCUUUGUACACACC
rnacentral:rRNA from 1 species